AGAGUUUGAUCAUGGCUCAGGAUGAACGCUGGCGGCGUGCCUAACACAUGCAAGUCGAGCGAUUUACUUCGGUAAAGGGCGGCGGACGGGUGAGUAACGCGUGGGUAACCUGCCCUGCACACACGGGUAACAUACCGAAAGGUAUGCUAAUACGAGAUAAUAUGCUUUUAUCGCGUGGUAGAAGUAUCAAAGCUUUUGUGGUACAGGAUGGACCCGCGUCUGAUUAGCUAGUUGGUAAGGUAACGGCUUACCAAGGCGACGAUCAGUAGCCGACCUGAGGGGGUGAUCGGCCACAUUGGAACUGAGACACGGUCCAAACUCCUACGGGAGGCAGCAGUGGGGAAUAUUGCACAAUGGGCGAAAGCCUGAUGCAGCAACGCCGCGUGAGCGAUGAAGGCCUUCGGGUCGUAAAGCUCUGUCCUCAAGGAAGAUAAUGACGGUACUUGAGGAGGAAGCCCCGGCUAACUACGUGCCAGCAGCCGCGGUAAUACGUAGGGGGCUAGCGUUAUCCGGAAUUACUGGGCGUAAAGGGUGCGUAGGUGGUUUCUUAAGUCAGAGGUGAAAGGCUACGGCUCAACCGUAGUAAGCCUUUGAAACUGGGAAACUUGAGUGCAGGAGAGGAGAGUGGAAUUCCUAGUGUAGCGGUGAAAUGCGUAGAUAUUAGGAGGAACACCAGUUGCGAAGGCGGCUCUCUGGACUGUAACUGACACUGAGGCACGAAAGCGUGGGGAGCAAACAGGAUUAGAUACCCUGGUAGUCCACGCCGUAAACGAUGAGUACUAGCUGUCGGAGGUUACCCCCUUCGGUGGCGCAGCUAACGCAUUAAGUACUCCGCCUGGGAAGUACGCUCGCAAGAGUGAAACUCAAAGGAAUUGACGG
rnacentral:rRNA from 1 species